UAAGUGGGACGGACGGUCGCGCGGGAAACCGUGAGGAAAGUCCGGGCUUCGCAGGGCAGGAUGCCGGAUAACGUCCGGUGGAGGUGACUCCAAGGCCAGUGCAACAGAAAUAUACAGCCACGAUUUCGUGGUAAUGGUGGAAAGGCAGUGUAAGAGACUACCGCCCGGCCGGUAACGGCCGGGGCACAUGUAAACCCCAUCCGAAGCAAGACCAAACAGAAGACCAUAGGCUUGCCCGGCCUGUUUUCAGGUAGGUCGCUAAAGACUGUCGGCAACGGCAGUAUCAGAUAGAUGACCGUCCCGGCUCCUUUGCAGGGGCUAUGACAUAACCCGGCUUACAGUCCCGCUUGUUUU
rnacentral:RNase_P_RNA from 1 species